rnacentral:rRNA from 1 species
UACGUAGGGUGCGAGCGUUGUCCGGAAUUAUUGGGCGUAAAGAGCUCGUAGGCGGUUUGUCGCGUCGGCCGUGAAAACUUGGGGCUUAACCCCAAGCCUGCGGUCGAUACGGGCAGACUUGAGUUCGGCAGGGGAGACUGGAAUUCCUGGUGUAGCGGUGAAAUGCGCAGAUAUCAGGAGGAACACCGGUGGCGAAGGCGGGUCUCUGGGCCGAUACUGACGCUGAGGAGCGAAAGCGUGGGGAGCGAACAG